UGCUGCUGGAGGGAAUGACGUGGCCCCUCCCCGAAGUGGAAGGGCGUUUCCGUCCGGAGGAAGAGCACGGAGGGGAAAAUCGCACGUGUUUUCCUUCCCUUGCAGCGACUCCUGGUGGCAGGAGGGAGCAUGUGAAGGGGGAUCCAUUAAAACCCUUUUUUAAAAACCUUUUUACCUACUUUGACCAGGGACCAUUAGGGUUACGAAUCAGUUUUUGGUCAACUUUAGAUUUGGUUAGGUUAUAUGAGGUGCUGAUUCAGAAAACUGCAUUAGAUAGACCACAUCAGCUCUAGUUCCUGAUACAGAACAUAUGCCAUCCAGUAGUCACCAUGUGCUCGCCCACAGACAACCGUAUUUAAUAAUCUAGAACUCAUGUGGUCUAUCCAAUGCAAUGUUCUGAAUAAUAAGCCAAAUAACUCCAGGAAAAGGCCUAAAAACAAAAAAAAACCCAACGUGGCCCCGCUUCUAGGCAUCACAUGGAACAGCUCCACUCGGGGAGGGGGGAGGAGAAGCAGCAGUCAAGAGGCUUCUUGUCGCUCUUUUUUUGGGAAGUCAGCCUCUCCUCUCCUGAUAUCCCUGUUGCCUUGGCGCUAUAAGAGGGUUUCACGAGACCAGUCGCUCUCGUUGCAAUAGUGUAGUUCCGGUGAAGCCACGGACCAUAUUUUAGUUCUUGGGGACCACUAGUAGUCCAUGGACCACAGGUUGGGAACCACUGAUUUUGAAAUAGUCCCUCGUCCUAUGACAAGCAGGGUAACAUCUUUGAGACUUCCUGAGAGGAUAAAAUUGUAGCAAUGUAUUUUAGGGCCAUCCACCCAACUGCAGAGUCAUAGCAGUUUGACACUACUUUAGAUGCCAUAGCUCUAUCCUGUGGAAUCCUAGGAUUUGUAGUUUGUUCUGGCAGCAGAGCUUUCUGACAGCAACAGCUAAAUAUCUUACAAACAUGUCAGCAUUCCUAGCAUUGAACCAUGGCUGUUAACGUGGUUUUAAACUGUUGUACGUCUGCAGUGUGGAUACAGUCUCAGCCUGUUCCCUUUUUUAGUUUUUAUUGUGAUACACACACACACACACACAGAGAGAAAUGUACCAUCUUUGAUAUUCCACAAUUAAAAUACAAGCAUUUUUCCCCAGUCCCACCCAUGAACCCUCACUCUUGAUUUCUCCUUAUGUAAUACAAAAGUAUAGGAAUACUAUUGAAUAUUUAUACCUCAAUAUGAUCAAGCAUGUAACUAUUUUCCCUUGGUUUCACCAGCUAUUCUAUUAUCACUCAGAAUCUUAUUAAUCUUAUACAGAAGUGUCUGUCUGAGGUUCUCAAAAGUAUUCAUUUUGUUUUCUUCUUCAUCCUAUAUCCCGUCAUCCUUUAUCAUUUUCCCUCUUUCUUUCUCCCUCCCUCCCUCUUCCCCCUGGGAAACAGUUUACUAAUCUUACUAUGCAAUGCUUAUUAUAGCCUGCUCCCUCUGAUGGAGGCUAUGGGUGCACCUACAUCAGGCAUGGACAAACUUUGAUUCUCCAGAUGUUUUGGACUUCAGCUCCCACAAUUCCUAACAGCUGGUAAGCUGGCUGAGAUUUCUGGGAGUUGAAGUCCAAAACACUUGGAGGGCCAAAGUUUGCCCAUGCCUGACCUACACUGUAGAAUUAAUGCAGUUUGGUACCACUUUAAAUGCCAUGGCUUAAUGCUAUGGAAUCCUGGGAAAUGUAGCUUUACAAAGCCUUCUCUUCCAGAGUGCUACAAAUCUCAUGAUUCUAUAGCCUUGAGCCAAGGCAGUUAAAGUGGUGCCAAACAGUAUUAAUUCUACAGUCUAGAUGCACUCUACAUCUAUGAAAGCUUAUGCUACGGCUUCUUUCUUUCAAUCUCAAAGGUGCUACAAGAUGCCUUGGCAUUCUGAUAUUCCAGACCAGUGUUUCUCAAACUCUGCUCCUCCAAGUAUUUUGGACUUCAGCUCCUAGAAAUCCCAGCCAAUUUACCAGCUGUUUGAAGAUUUGAAGGCACAUGGCAACAAGUUUCUUUCCCCUCUUCAGAUGAAUGCAGAUUGCUCGAUGCACAUAAAUGCAGGAUCCUUUUGGAAGACAUCCAACUUUCACCCUGGCUUUCCAGUGGUGAUGUACAACGUCCCCCUUUGACGUCUGUGCCUUGAGUCAAGAGCAGCCUUCUGGUUUUGAGGAGACUGCAAGUGCAAUUCCAGGGGUUGCCAUCCAGAUACAAGUAUCGGAGACGAGGCAAAUGUUUCACAAAACCAUAAUCUAGGGUGGAUAACUUGUUGUUCCGUAGAUUCAAAACCUGUAGGUGCUGAAGCUGGGACAGUUCCUGCUCUUUAAUUCUUUCUAUGCUGUUUCCUUUCAGAUCCAAUCUGGCUAGUGUUUGUGGAAGGCUGGAAUGUGGGGGGGGGGGGGGGGGGGACAUGCAUUAUUAUUUAUGAGCAACUGUAAACAUGGUAAAUACUUUACAACACCAGUUUCAUUUCUUCUCACAAAACCCUUGUCAUUAGGGCAAGAAGCCCUGCCAUGCCCCAGUGCCACCAAGAUAGUUUAAUAAUGAAACUAAUUAAACUAAUAAUUAGACUAGUUUAAUAAUUAUUAAACUACUGUAUUAUAAUUAUAAAUGAUUAAAUCAUAAUUAACAGGAUUUCAAAUUUGACUUCUUGCCCACAGAACAAACUAGGUUAUAAUUUUGGCUAGGACUCUGGAAGAUUUAUCUCUGAAAUGUCAUGGGCUAGUAUAAAUGGGUUUUUGUUUUGUUUUUUUCGUGUCAGGAGCAACUUGAGUUACUUCUGGUGUGAGCGAAUUGGCCGUCUGCAAGGAUGUUGCCCAGGGGACGCCCAGAAGUUUUUACCAUCCUUGUGGGAGGCUUCUCUCAUGUCCCCGCAUGGAGCUGGAGCUGAUAGAGGGAGCUCAUCCGCACUCUCCCCGUGUGGGAUUCGAACCUGGCAGCUUUCAGGUCAGCAACCCAACCUUCAAGUCACAAGGCUUCAGGCCUGUAGCGAGGGGGUGGUUUUAGGGGUUCAACCCCCCCCCCUCCCCGAAAUUUUUUAGGUUAUAAAAAAAACCUGGUUUACUCAUGAAUUUUAAUUGGUUAACCAAAUCCCCAUGCUAAGUCUAUGAGACGCAAAACAUUAAGAGUCCCUCCAGGCACUAUCUCAAGCAGAUAUUGACAGGUUUGUAGCGGGGAGAGGUGUGUGCUAGGGGUUCAACCCCCCCCCCCCCCCCCGCCGAAAUUUUCAAAACCCCUCCUGAAAUUUUUUUCUGGCUACGACCCUGCAAGGCUUUACCCCUCUACUCCACCGGAGGCUCCAGUAUACAUAGUUGAGAUGACUGGAUUUAAGGAGGUUUGAGUCCUGUCAAGUCUGUUUGCUGUAUGAAUCAGAGAGAAAAACGUAACUCUCCUUCCAGAAUAAGAAAAUAAAUAGUCCAUAUGCUGUUUACAUGUUGAUCUUUUCCAACCUGUGUCAUGUAUGCCCUACUGUUCUGCCACAGAGCUGAGGGUUCAUGAGUCUUAGGACUUUUCCUAUUCUACAGUUUUAUCCUUGCAAUAAACUUGAAACAACCUUAAGUUGCAUGGUAGCAAGGGACCAAGAGAACUGUGUUAUCUAGGGUACAACCUGGGAGUUGUACUUUGGUGAAGCACCAGCCCUCUUUGGCAGAGGGUAAAGCUACAGUUCCCAUUAUUUCAUAGCAUAGAGCUAUGGUAAUUAAAAUGGAGUCAAACUUCAUUAAUUCUACAGCAUAGGUGCACCCUGAUUAUAGCUUGUUGGUUAUAACCAAAAGGCCAAGAGACAAUUUUCAGACAAGGGCUUUAAUUUUGUAAUCACUCUGACUCAUUUACAGAAUUUUACAGUUGAUCUUGACAACACUGUCUUCCAUUUGUAAUACUCACAUCCCUUUCUAUGCUGCUUCAGUCUUUUUUUUCCUUUUUACAAAUAAUCUGUGGAGAAAAAGACAGAAUAGCUGCAGCAUGACUUUUAACUGGCAGCACUAAGAGCAGCUCAAGUGGAGGGAUGUUUGGUUUCACUGGUCUGGGGAUCAUGUCCUCCCUAUUUUGUUGAACUUCCAACUCCUUUCUUGCCUGACCAUGUGAUAUAUUGUCUGGACCUCAUGGGACUUGGGGUCCAAUGAUAUUUCAGAGGCCUUUUAGAGGCCAUCAAUUCCCAACCCAGUUCUUAUUGAUAUACCACAUUUGGCUUUUACAGAUCCCAGUAAUUACAUUAUUUGGCAGUGACACAAACAGAUUUUUUGUUAUGCAUGGAAAUCUAUUACAGACAUCUAAUACUUUUCCUCUUGGUUUCUAUGUCUUGUGACAUAUACGAAAACAGCAUUCAGUAUGUAGUUAUGUUUUCAAAAUCCUGUAUCUGAGAUAUAGAAAAGUCAUUUUAAUAAUAAUAAUAAUAAUAAUAAUAAUAAUAAUAAUAAUAAUAAUAAUAAUAGGAUUCGGGCAGCUAACUGUGUUUCUGGUUCAGUUGCUUACCGUAGUGGAAUAGAAUGAAGCAAGUUUUGUUCAAGUGCUAGAUUAGACAGUACUGUGCAUUUUAGAAGUGCCCCAUCUUCAAAUGUUGCAACAACAUUGUUGUCAAGGAACAAAUGCUUGAGGUCUUGAAGAUUAUGGAAUUCUUGUGCUUGAAUUUUCCCAAUCAGAUUAUUACUGCAAUCGAUUUUCUGCAAAGUGAUUGGCAGCCUGACUGGUAUUGUUUGGAGUUUAUUCCCAGCUAUCUCCAACCUUGUUAAACUGGAAAGAUGUUGUACACCAUCAACUGAUGAAAUCUGGUUUUCAGAUAAGAAAAGCUGUGACAAAUUUGCCAGUUGUUUCACAUCUUCAGAUCUCAUCAUUUUGAGUUGAUUUCUCUCUAACUUCAAUGACAGUAAAGAUCUGGGUAGUUCUGGGGGCAUGUCAGUCAGUAAAUUACCAUUUAAAUUGAGAAACAAUAAAUUUUGAAGAGAUGUGAAAAAGCUUCCAGAUAAAGAUUGCAACUUAUUUUUUUCCAUGCUCAGAUACUUUAAAUUGGGGAGAUGGACAGGUCCAGUCACGGAUUCCAUAUUGUUCCCAUCCAAAGUCAAACUCUGUAAACUGUUGAGAGAGGAAAAAGUAAUAAAAGAAAGAACUACAAUCAAAUUGCUUUGUAUAUCAAGGACCCUUAAGUUCUUUAAACCUUCGAAGUCAGAUUCAUGUAAAGCACUUAUUAAAUUAUCGCCAAGUUUCAGCACUUCAAGGUUCUCUGGGAGUGAGGAUGGUAUGUUCCUCAGCUUGUUUUUCCACAAUUCCAGGAUUCUUAAAGUAUCUAAAUUUUUGAAAGUGUUAAUUUCCACUGAUUCUGUUCCACUGCAAGUCAGGACAAAUUCUUCAAGGGAAGACAUUUUUUGGAAAUCAGUGACCUGCGGGAUAAAUGGCAAAGCAAAAUUAUUUUUGGUAAGAUCAAUUUAACAAUGGAGCAUCUCAUUAAUACCUCAAUUGAAUUAAAACACAUAAUCAGGAAUAUCAUCCUUGCAAAUGAAUGGGAGUUGUGCAGUCUUCUCAGGUAAAGGGAACACAAUCCAGCCAAACCAGAAAAAGGGUAUUUUCCAUGGCAAGCUGGAGCCCUCUUGAGGUGUAAAGCAGAAUAUAUGCAAAACUUUUAAGGCAAUCUAAGGUACACCUGGGAAUAAUAUAUCACUGAACCCAAUGAGGUUUCAGAGAGAACAGGCAGUACAACAUGCCUAAGCAUAUUUGAUUAGAUGUAAAUCAAAUCUGCUGCUUGUUAAGGAAUAAUUGGAUAAGAUUGCAUUCUCAUUCCUCAAUUCUGUGCAUAUUUUCUCAGGCUUCUUUCUGCAACUCGAAUCCUUUUAGUUUUUUAUCUACAGCAUUAAAGAUUUAUUUGAUGCUCUUCAUCAUUUGUAUUCUCCAUUUAUAGCUAGAGUCUCAAACUCAUUUGUGGUUUUGAGGUAAUUAAAUAAUAUGUUUUUCUUUGGUUAUGUAAAAUGCAUAUACUUAUAUAUUUCAUAUAUUAUGUUCUGUUUGGUCUUGUGGAAGCUUUGGUUAAAAAACUUAAAAAAAUAUUUUUAAAACAUGAAUGAGAAACGAAAACUAUUUGUGGCAAAGCAUUAGUUACUGAAAAAUGUAAAACUUCAUUUGAGAUCUCACUUGUAACUUAUUAUUCAUUAUCAUGGAAGCCAUGUCUUUUGUACAGAACAUUAGAAUGUUUAUCCAUUUAGUGUUUAUCAGUUUUAAAACUUCAAAGAACUGAAUUGGCUAGCAAGGGGAAGGAUUAGAAGCAUGGAUUACAAGUUCAUUAUAUGCACAGCUUUUAAACUCAUCUUUCAGACAUUUUAAGUAUUUCAAAAGGGAGUUAUUGUUCUUUGUAAAGGCGCCCUUCAUGUUUGUAUUGCUUGUACUGCUACUAAUAUCGAGUCAUUAAAUGAUAAAAUAGCCAAUUACACUGAUAAAGAAGGACAAUUUUUCUUUCUGAUCAUGACACACACACACAUUUUUCUUACCCUUGAAAUUUGGUUAUAUUUUAUACUAAUGAGCAAAUAGAGCUAUUUGUUUAAGAAAGUUUACUCAUGUGCUUCAUGUAUUAGGACUAGAGGUUAAUUUUGGCUGCAAUCUAUACAUAUGUCUUCAGAUAUCUUAGUAAUACACACUUGUCAGAGAAACAGGAUGUCCUGUGGUGACCUGCAAAGGCAAACCAAUUUUUUGUCCUUGUGCAAUGACUGCUAAUUUUGACUAUUUGUAAUUGCUUUGUGUAUAAUUGUGUGUAUAUGUGCACAUGCAAUUGUAUGUAUAAAUACACAGGGAGUUCAUUCUACCUAGCAAUUUAUGCACAUUUCUUAAGCUAAAGUGUUGUGGAGUUUUGCUUACAAGGAAGGUAUAAUGCUUAAUUAACAAAAACAAAUGCCUCAGUAAGAUUUUUGUCACCCUGCCUUCCUGGUCACACAGACCUUAAAGCUGCAGUUGUAUACCCACUUUCCUGGGAGUAGUCUGUUUUGAACUCAACUCCAUGUACCUUUGAGUAGAUAUAGCAUUAUUGUAAGAGCAAACUACUUUGAGAUAUUUGUAUGAAAAAUGGCAUCAAAAUAUAAGUAAAUCAGUUACAUGUAGCUGAUGGAAAAUAAAAUAAAUAUACACUA